ensembl:lncRNA
AUGCCACCGCCGUGGCCACGGGCGAGGGCAGCGGGCGUGGAACCGGCGGGGAACCGGCGAGGAAAGGGGGACGGGUCGAGCGCGCCCCCGACCCCGGGAGCCGGGCCCGGUGCGCGGGUGAGCGCGGACGGGGGUCGCGAUAGGGUGAGCGGGGGAGGUCCGGCCUGCGGCAGCUCCGGAGCCUCCGGGAAACCGUCCCCGACCGCCCCCGGCCCGGCCCGGUGCCGCCCGCCCCCCCCGCGCCCAGCCCGGGGCCGCACCGCGCCGGGGGUCGCCGGGCGGGGGACGGCGACGGAAACGCAGGAGGGGUCCGGGGCGGAGCCGGGACGGGAUGAGGAUGAGGAUGGAGCCGGGGAUGGGGAUGAGGAUGGAGCAGGAGAUGGGGAUGGAAGCGGGAUGGAAGCAGGGCUGGAGAUGGGCACGGAACCGGGGAUGGGGAUGAGGAUGGGGCUGAAGAUGCGAAUGGAGCCGGGGAUGGGGAUGGAGAUGGGGAUGGAGCCGCGGAUGAGGAUGAAGUGGGGAUGGACCCGCGAGGUGAAGGCGGCGGGGGGAGAUGGGGAUGGGGUCUCGCUGUGGCGGGAGGCGACAGGCCCGGUGGGGCGGGGGCAGCCCGCUCUGCCCCCCCGGCCCAGGCCCCGCACUCACCGGCGCUGCUGCUGCGCUGCGGCGGCGCCCGCCGGGAUGCGGCUCCGUCCCCGCCCCGCCGGGUCCCGCUCGCGCCGCCGCUCCCGUUCCCGGUGCCCGCCGCAGCCCCGGCCCCGCCGCCGUUUCUUCCGCUCCGGAGACACCGACGAACCACGUGGGCACCGGGCGGCCGCCAGCCCCUCCCCCGCCACGCGCCGGGGCCGCCCCAGAGGCUGUGACCCCCCCUCCGGGGCACGGCCGGUCCCGGUGAUGCUCGGGGGAAGGGGGGGACGGACACACGCGCUGGACCCCCGGACACCUGACACCCCUCCCGUGCCCCGCCCUGCGAGGGGCACCACCGACCCCCGGCCCCCUCCCGUGCCCGCCGGAUCCCCCCAAGGGUGGUCGCGGGGCCGGGGGGCUUCUCCCUUCAUCCCCGGAAGCAUCGCGGAGCCGCAGCCCCGCGCGGUGGGGGCUGGGCUCCCCCCCUGCCCCCGCCCCCCAAUCCCCCCCCCCCCCCCCGCCCCGAACAUUUUAUUCCCUGAAUUGUUCCCGGAGCCGCUUCCAUUAUGGAAUUACAUCUUUUCCCUGUGCGCAGGGUUAUUAAUAGCUGCUCUGCUUUCACCGCGGCUGCCGGGGGCUCCGGGGGACAGACCCCUGCAGCCCCCGGGGGGGGGCACUGCCAGCCUGGUGCCCGGGGACAGACCCUGGAAUGCCACGGAUGGACCCGCGGCAGGGUCAGACCCACGCACGGACACUUCUGUGGCUCUGCGUGAGGCCGGUGGCACAAGAUUCCUGCCAAGGCCUUGUCCCACCCCAGCGGAGGAGCCGGGAAUGGGACGCAGGGAUGGGGGCCGGGGGAAAUCUGCGGGACCCCGAUAUCCCAAACAUCCCAAACAUCCCUGCCAAGGCCUCUGGAGGAAUGGGGGGGGGGGGGGGGAAGAGCAGCCCCAGGGAUGGGCACUGAAGGGGGAUCCGGCAGCAAAGCCGAGCUGGGAGAGGUCAGCACGGAGCAAAUCCUGA